UCGAAACGCAAUACGCCGCAUAGACUUCGGUCAUGACGGUAUGGCGAGCUUUCGCCGUCCACGUUUCUCUUUCUUCAAGAAGACAAAGAACCGCGUCGAUCCAGUUUAGGCUGGACCGGUUUGANCGAGAAUGGGCCACGUAGCUCAGUUGGUUAGAGCACACGCNUGAUAAGNCGUGGG
rnacentral:misc_RNA from 1 species